GGAAGUACACUCCCGCCUGCAAGGGUAGCGCUCCGACGGUAGGCUGUCACCCGGGAACUUGUGGACAAGGCUCUCUUCUCCAGUGUCAGUCUCAUCUCACAAAAUGAUACUUGCAUUUAAGCAGUUUGAACCUGGCUUGCCAGGUCUGCCCUGGUUUUCUUUUUUUUUUUUUUUUUUUGUUUUUCUCCGGUACCGGGAACCGAACUCACGACCUUGCGCUUGCCUGCCCUGGUUUUCUUAAUGGACUUAUGUGCCCUUCCUGAAAUGGGGUCUCCUGUGUGCUCAGAAGCUUGCGUUUGUCGGUUUCCUGUGGAAGAAUCGGUCCCCUGAUGUGGGAGAACAUCGUGAGCGCAGGCCGGGACAAGACCAAAUGGAACAGCGAGAGUGCCAGCUCUUUCACAGGUCAGUGUUUGGGAAUGAGGCAACAGGCUUCAAUGUCAACAUUUUCGUGCUGUCUCCAUCUACUCAUUCCAAUUCAGGAAAAUGAAUACCUCCCAUAGAGCCACUGUGUAGAUGGAGAAAUGCGUUACAUCAUAGAGAUAUUCUGAAAAAGACUAAAGGUGAAAGAAGAGCAAACAUUCCAUUUCCUUCAGAGAAGCGUCAUACUUCACGCAGGAUCAAAAACACCUCCAAUGUUGAAGAUAAGCAUGUUGCCUGGCAUGAGGACGGAAAUGAUUGCUGAAAUGGACCCCACACCUGAUCCGCUUGGUGAUUUCCCAGUGAUGAGGCCAGGACACGUUAAAAGAGGAGCCAGGUGUGGUGGCACAUGCCUGUAACCCUAGCAUUUGGGAGGCUCAUUAAGGAGGUUUACCUUGAUUUCAAGGCCAGCCUGGAUGACACAAUGUAUUCAGUAUCAGUCUGACCUGCAUACCAAGACUAUGCCUCAAAACAAAAAAAAGAACAAAAACAAUAAAAGCAAAAUAAAAGACAGGUGGUGAAAUCUCUUACUCUAGUGGUGUAUUUUUCCUUUUUUCUUUUGUCUCCUGGGACCAAUUUUUGUUGUUAUUGUUACCAAGAAUCAAACUCAUGACCUCAUGCUUACCAGGUAGGUGACGUGCUGCUGGCUCUAUCCCCAGCCGCUCAAUUUUAUUUCUAUCAGUCUUCCUAGUUUUUUUACCCUUCCCUCCCCUCCUCUCCCCUGCCUUCUUUUGCCCUGCCCUGCCCUACCCUGCCCUGCCCUUCUCAUGUUUCUUUCUUAGCUCUUUUCAGGUCCAUCCAGACCCUUCCUGGUCCUGGUACAUGGAAACGGCUCAAGCAGUGGUAGUGAAGGUCAUGACUUACAGUUGCCUUAUUUUCAAUAAAGUUCUGUACGCUGUGUUUAUAGAGCUCCAGUGUCUUUCUGUUCAGUGCACCCUGUUUAUACAGUACUGUCAUUUUUGCUGAUUGUACUGUACAGUACAGAACUGCAGCUUUAUGUUGUUUUACCUUAUACUACAGGAUGUCAAAAUUAUGCAAAUAAAGCAAAGUCAUCAAGUUGGA